rnacentral:rRNA from 1 species
UACGAAGGGGGCUAGCGUUGUUCGGAGUUACUGGGCGUAAAGGGCGCGUAGGCGGCGCACCAAGUCAGGCGUGAAAGCCCUGGGCUCAACCCGGGAAUUGCGCUUGAGAUUGGUGUGCUUGAGUACGGGAGAGGAUAGUGGAAUUCCCAGUGUAGAGGUGAAAUUCGUAGAUAUUGGGAAGAACACCGGUGGCGAAGGCGGCUAUCUGGACCGUAACUGACGCUGAGGCGCGAAAGCGUGGGGAGCAAACAGG